ensembl:lncRNA
AAGGCCUCGACGGCACCUCCAUCACAGCUUCAAAGGUACAAUUAUGAAGGAACCCAACAACAACGCCACCAUUGACUCUGUUGACAGAAUCAUACGUGGCACCAAUUACCCCGGUCUGGGCCCGUCAGCUGGAGGAGAGCAGAGCCGGAGGAAGUCAAAAGGACGGCUGAGCGUCUCCUCUGUGGGGUCGGAGGCUGAUGCGCUGACGGGGACACACAUCUCUGAUCCGGAGAGUCACUGUGUGUGUGUGUGUGUGUGUGUGUCGCUGACAUUAAGCCGAUACGGAGGUCGACGUUACCAC